rnacentral:rRNA from 1 species
UCAAGCGUGAGGUAAGGGCAAUUCGUGGAUGCCUUGGCAUGUACAGGCGAUGAAGGACGUGGCACGCUGCGAUAAGCGUCGGGGAGCUGUGAGCAAGCUUUGAUCCGACGAUUUCCGAAUGGGGAAACCCACCUGAUCCGAUUAUCUCGAGCGUCAGCAAUGACGGUCGGGGUAAUGGGAGAAAGGUAUCACUUAGCUGAAUAAAAUAGGCUUCGUGAAGCGAACCCGGCGAACUGAAACAUCUCAGUACCCGGAGGAAAAGACAUCAACCGAGAUUCCGUUAGUAGUGGCGAGCGAACGCGGACCAGGCCAGUGCCCUCAAUUCAACUAGCAGAAGCUUCUGGAAAGGAGCGCCAUAGCGGGUGACAGCCCCGUAUGCGAAAGUGAUGUUGAGGGACUCGAGUAGGGCGGGACACGUGUAAUCCUGUCUGAACAUGGGGGGACCACCCUCCAAGCCUAAAUACUCGUACAUGACCGAUAGCGAACUAGUACCGUGAGGGAAAGGUGAAAAGCACCCCGAUGAGGGGAGUGAAACAGUACCUGAAACGGAUUGCCUACAAGCAGUUGGAGCCUCUUUAUGGGGUGACAGCGUACCUCUUGCAUAAUGGGUCUGUGACUUAAUGUACCAAGCAAGCUUAAGCCGAUAGGUGUAGGCGCAGCGAAAGCGAGUCUGAAUAGGGCGACUUAGUUUGGUGUAUUAGACCCGAAACCCGGCGAUCUAGGCAUGACCAGGAUGAAGGUGAGGUAACACUCACUGGAGGUCCGAACCGAUUAACGUUGAAAAGUUACCGGAUGAGUUGUGUUUAGGGGUGAAAGGCCAAUCAAGCCGGGAAAUAGCUGGUUCUCCGCGAAAACUAUUGAGGUAGUGCCUCGGACGAAUACCAUAGGGGGUAGAGCACUGGAUGGGCUAGGGGGUCGCGAGAUCUACCAAACCUAACCAAACUCCGAAUACCUAUGAGUACUAUCCGGGAGACAGACGGCGGGUGCUAAGGUCCGUCGUCAAAAGGGAAACAGCCCUGACCUACAGCUAAGGUCCCCAAGUCAUCACUAAGUGGGAAAGCAUGUGGGAAUCCCAAAACAACCAGGAGGUUGGCUUAGAAGCAGCCAUCCUUUAAAGAAAGCGUAACAGCUCACUGGUCUAAACAAGGGUUCCUGCGGCGAAGAUGUAACGGGGCUAAAGUGAUGCACCGAAGCUUAGGAUGUGAUCGCAAGAUCACGUGGUAGCGGAGCGUUCCGUAAGCCUGUGAAGCAGUCUGGUAAUGGGCUGUGGAGGUAUCGGAAGUGCGAAUGCAGACAUGAGUAGCGAUAAAGAGGGUGAGAUGCCCUCUCGCCGAAAGACCAAGGGUUCCUGCGCAAGGCUAAUCCGCGCAGGGUGAGCCGGCCCCUAAGACGAGCCCGAAGGGGGUAGUCGAUGGGAACCACGUUAAUAUUCGUGGGCCUGGUGGUGUGUGACGGAUCUCGUGUGUUGUACGAUCUUAUCGGAUUGAUCGUGCUUCGAAGAGGUCCCGGGAAAUAGCCCCACCGUAUAGACCGUACCCGAAACCGACACAGGUGGUCAGGUAGAGUAUACCAAGGCGCUUGAGAGAAGUGUCCUGAAGGAACUCGGCAAAUUGCCUCCGUACCUUCGGAAGAAGGAGGCCCUUGUUCUGCGCAAGCAGUUCAAGGGGGCACAGGCCAGGGGGUAGCGACUGUUUAGCAAAAACACAGGGCUCUGCUAAGUCGGCUUCAAGACGACGUAUAGGGUCUGACGCCUGCCCGGUGCCUGAAGGUUAAGUGGAGGGGUGCAAGCUCCGAAAUGAAGCCCAGGUAAACGGCGGCCGUAACUAUAACGGUCCUAAGGUAGCGAAAUUCCUUGUCGGGUAAGUUCCGACCUGCACGAAUGGCGUAACGACUUCCCCACUGUCUCCAGGACAUGCUCAGCGAAAUUGAAUUCUCCGUGAAGAUGCGGAGUACCCGCGGUUAGACGGAAAGACCCCGUGCACCUUUACUGCAGCUUCAGAGUGGCAUUAGGAAGGAACUGUGUAGAAUAGGUGGGAGGCUUUGAAGCAUUGGCGCCAGCCAGUGUGGAGCCACAAUGUGAAAUACCACCCUGUUGUUUUCUGAUGUCUAACCACGCACCGUCAUCCGGUGCUGGGACCCUCUGUGGCGGGUAGUUUGACUGGGGCGGUCGCCUCCUAAAGAG